rnacentral:rRNA from 1 species
UACGUAGGUGGCAAGCGUUGUCCGGAAUUAUUGGGCGUAAAGCGCGCGCAGGCGGCCUCUUAAGUCUGAUGUGAAAGCCCCCGGCUCAACCGGGGAGGGCCAUUGGAAACUGGGAGGCUUGAGUAUAGGAGAGAAGAGUGGAAUUCCACGUGUAGCGGUGAAAUGCGUAGAGAUGAUGGAGGAACAGCCAGUGGCGAAGGCGACUCUUUGGCCUAUAACUGACGCUGAGGCGACGAAAGCGUGGGGAGCGAACAGG